GACGAACGCUGGCGGCGUGCCUAAUGCAUGCAAGUCGAACGCACUGCCUUCGGGCAGUGAGUGGCGCACGGCUGAGGAACACGUGGGAAUCUGCCCGACCGUGGGGGAUAACACGCCGAAAGGCGUGCUAAGCCCGCAUACGCUCGCAAGAGGAAAGCGGCAACGCGCGGUCGGAGGAGCCUGCGGCCCAUCAGGUAGUCGGCGGGGUAACGGCCCACCGAGCCGGUGACGGGUAGCUGGUCUGUGAGGACAGACAGCCAGACUGGGACUGAGACACGGCCCAGACUCCUACGGGAGGCAGCAGUGAGGAAUCUUGCGCAAUGGGCGAAAGCCUGACGCAGCGACGCCGCGUGGAGGAUGACGGUUUUCGGAUUGUAAACUCCUGUUAAGCGGGAAGAAAGCCUUGUUUCUAAUACAAGCAAGGUAUGACGGUACCGCUAGAGAAAGCACCGGCUAACUUCGUGCCAGCAGCCGCGGUAAUGUCGUC
rnacentral:rRNA from 1 species